rnacentral:rRNA from 1 species
CCUACGGGCGGCAGCAGUAGGGAAUUUUCGGCAAUGGGGGGAACCCUGACCGAGCAACGCCGCGUGAACGAAGAAGUUAUUCGUAAUGUAAAGCUCUUUUAACAGGGAAGAAAGAGAACUUUGACGGUACCUGAAGAAUAAGCUCCGGCUAACUACGUGCCAGCAGCCGCGGUAAUACGUAGGGAGCGAGCGUUAUCCGGAAUUAUUGGGGGUAAAGGGUGCGUAGAUGGCAUAGUAAGUCUUUGGUAAAAAUGCUGGGCUCAACCCAGUAGGGCAAAAGAUACUGCAAAGCUAGAGUAUGAGAGAGGCAAGCGGAAGUACAUGUGUAGCGGUAAAAUGCGUAGAUAGAUGGAAGAACACCAGUGGCGAAGGCGGCUUGCUGGGUCGAUACUGACGUUGAGGCACGAAAGCGUGGGGAGCAAACAGGAUUAGAUACCCCUGUAGUC